rnacentral:lncRNA from 1 species
GCGGUGUCUUCGUUCGUCACCGCUGUUCCCUAGUUUCACCCCGCCCCUUUCCGUUUUCACGAAAAACCAACAAACCAAUCAAGUUCCAUUCCUCCCCCUUUAUUUUCGUCGCAGCUUCCGGCCCCGCCGGGCUUCCACCAAUCCAAGCGUCCGGGGCUUCCCAUCCGGAUGCUUUAAAAAAAAACUCGCUUGUUUCCAAUCAGAGGCAAAGGAACGAAGGAGGGAUCGGUGGAAGCUUUGACUUCACUCCCUUUUAAAGUCCGGGCUUCCAACAAGGCUUGGCUGCUCUACUAUUUAAGCCAAUGAGAAGUCGCUUCCCCUUUCGCUCUUUCUUAAAAAAAAAAGCCUGCCAAUUCGCCCAAUCGUCUUCCCAGAGAAGCUCUUCCGCAGUCCAAUGAAAGGCGGGAGGCACGCGAAGCACCCAAUGAGGGAGGGGCAAGCCCCCCUCCAGCGUCAAGCGUGCGGAGGGGGGCGCGCGAGGGGAGGAGCCAAUGAGGUGCCGCGCAGCGCCCCUACUGCUCAACAGCUUGUUAUUUGGGUGGUGAGAGUGGCGCUGGGCUGAAAGAGUGACACUCGGUCCGUCUGUGAGUGGGAGCCGCCGAUCCCGGGCUGCUGAGGGGGCGGAGGAAGAAGAGAAGGCGGAGCAAGGCGGGACAGCCCCUAUUGCUGCUGCCGCUGCUGCUGCUGCUGCUGUCGUCGUCGUCGCCCUCCUCCUCCUCUUUGGCCGCUGCUGUCGCGGCUUGUUCCUGGUGGGGGUCGGACGGUGUCUUCGGCCGGGCUGCCCGCGCUCUACGCCGGGCGAGGAGAGCUGCCGCCGUGGACUGCACUCAGCAAGUUUCUUCAACUGUGGUACACAAAACGCUUUGAGCUGGAAUCCCUCAAAUAACCAUCAAAUAUGAAGGUAAAUCUCCAUGUCUGUUUUGGAGUGUGUGAAAGCUUUCUCUGUUUUACCUUUUCCACCUUAUUUG